AGAAGUAAAAUUUUUUAAUAAAAGAUGAAGAAAUCAUUGUUGAACUGUUGGCGCUAAUCAUUAAUUUUAAGAGUUCGGACUAUUAAAAAUAUAUAAUAAAUUCACUUAGCUUGUACAGAUAUAGUAACCACGAGUCUCGAUUCUGACUCGAUCCAAUCAAUUUUAUUCGAUCUCCUGUCAUUUCGAAUACAACUAUAUCUUAUCUGGCUUUU
rnacentral:lncRNA from 1 species